rnacentral:rRNA from 1 species
UACAGAGGGUGCAAGCGUUGUCCGGAAUCACUGGGCGUAAAGGGCGCGUAGGCGGCCUGAUAAGUAGGAGGUGAAAUCCUGGGGCUUAACCUCAGGGCUGCCUUCGAGACUGUCCGACUCGAGCACAGUAGAGGCAGGUGGAAUUCCCGGUGUAGCGGUGGAAUGCGUAGAGAUCGGGAGGAACAUCGGUGGCGAAGGCGGCCUUCUGGGCUGUUGCUGACGCUGAGGCGCGACAGCGUGGGGAGCAAACAGG